rnacentral:rRNA from 1 species
GAAAAGAAACGUUGCGGACGAAGCGAACUACAUCGGGACGCUUUGGCCGCCGAGCGAAAAUAUAUCAUUGAGCUCGACCUCAGAUCAGGUAGGAGUACCCGCUGAACUUAAGCAUAUCAAUAAGCGGAGGAAAAGAAACCAACAGGGAUUGCCCCAGUAGCGGCGAGUGAAGCGGCAAGAGCUCAGAUUUGAAAUCGUGUUUCGGCACGAGUUGUAGAGUGUAGGCGGGAGUCUCUGUGGAGCGCGGUGUCCAAGUCCCUUGGAACAGGGUGCCUGAGAGGGUGAGAGCCCCGUAGGGUGCUGCGCGAAGCUUUUGAGGCCCUGCUGACGAGUCGAGUUGUUUGGGAAUGCAGCUCCAAGCGGGUGGUAAAUUCCAUCUAAGGCUAAAUAUUGGCGAGAGACCGAUAGCGAACAAGUACUGUGAAGGAAAGAUGAAAAGCACUUUGAAAAGAGAGUGAAACAGCACGUGAAAUUGUUGAAAGGGAAGGGUAUUGGGCUCGACAUGGGGGGUGCGCACCGCUGUCUCUUGUAGGCGGCGCUCUGGGCGCCCUCUGGGCCAGCAUCGGUUCCUGCUGCGGGAGAAGGGGCUCCGGAAAGUGGCUCUUCGGAGUGUUAUAGCCGGGGCCAGAUGCCGCGUGUGGGGACCGAGG